AUACGUAGGGGGCAAGCGUUGUCCGGAUUUAUUGGGCGUAAAGGGUUCGCAGGCGGCCUUUUAAGUCAGAUGUGAAAGCCCACGGCUCAACCGUGGUAAGCAUUUGAAACUGGAAGGCUUGAGUUAAGGAGAGGAAAGUGGAAUUCCUAGUGUAGCGGUGAAAUGCGUAGAUAUUAGGAGGAAUACCAGUGGCGAAGGCGACUUUCUGGACUUAUACUGACGCUGAGGAACGAAAGCGUGGGGAGC
rnacentral:rRNA from 1 species